UACGAAGGGGGCUAGCGUUGUUCGGAAUUACUGGGCGUAAAGCGUAUGCAGGCGGAUCGUUAAGUCGGGGGUGAAAUCCCGAGGCUCAACCUCGGAACUGCCUUCGAUACUGGCGAUCUUGAGUCCGGGAGAGGUGAGUGGAACUCCGAGUGUAGAGGUGAAAUUCGUAGAUAUUCGCAAGAACACCAGUGGCGAAGGCGGCUCACUGGCCCGGUACUGACGCUGAGAUGCGAAAGCGUGGGGAGCAAACAGG
rnacentral:rRNA from 1 species